UCCGAGUUGACCCCGGCAGUCUCCUAUGAGUUCCCGGCAUUACCCGCUGGCAACUAAAAGCAGGGGUUGCGCUCGUUGCGGCACUUAAGCCAACACCUCACGGCACGAGCUGACGACAGCCAUGCAGCACCUGUGCUAGCCCCUUACGGACACGGGCUUUCACCCGCUUUAACUAGCAUGUCAAGCCUAGGUAAGGUUCUUCGCGUUGCAUCGAAUUAAACCACAUGCUCCACCGCUUGUGCGGGCCCCCGUCAAUUCCUUUGAGUUUCAGUCUUGCGACCGUACUCCCCAGGCGGAGUGCUUAAUGUGUUAGCUGCGUCACCGACAUGCAUGCAUGCCGACAACUAGCACUCAUCGUUUACGGCGUGGACUAC
rnacentral:misc_RNA from 1 species